rnacentral:lncRNA from 1 species
UCAGAUAUUCAUUUUAAGGGACUUUGGGGGUAAAAUAAAAGAAAGGGAGGGCCUAAAGGUGAAUAAAAAAUCAAGUUUUGUUGCCCUAAGCCCCUUCUAUAAGAAUCUCAUUUUCCUAAAUUCUAGGGCAGAGAUUGGAACACUUAAAAAUAGAAAAACACGGCUAAAAAUCUUUUUCUGAAGAAAACUACUAUAGUUUGGAGCUGGAUUUCUUUCUUUUUUUUUUUUGGAAAAAAAGUUUAGGAAAUACUCAUUCCUGGGUUUGCUGGUUUUCUAAAGUUGAAGCUGUUGUGUGGUUGUCAUUGUUAUUUCCCUUGCUGUUGAUCUAUUGCUGCUGUUUCAUCCUAACUUCAGGCUUAUUUUCUCUGUUGUUUUUGAUGUAAUCAGGUAUUACUUCUGACUGGAGUGAUGCAAAUGUUGUGUUCCAUUGAAUGAAGAUUACUUGAGCUCACCUCUAUUUAAAUCUGUUUCCAAUUCUAUAGUGGUGUAGAUAUUCACCUUAUUUAAAUGUUGUAAAUGGGUGUGUUUGUUUGAUGUAUUUAGAUGCCGAUAGUGUUAUGGGUUGGACACAUUGGAUUUAUGUUUGGAUAUUUCACAAAGUGUUAUAGUUUAUUUUAAUUGGUUUGGUUUAUUUGUAUUCAUGUUCUUGACUUCAAGGUUUUGAUCCAUGUUUUCUGACAUGAACUCCAGUUGAUUGCUAAGCACUAGUAGAUGGAACAAUUAUGUUUGUCUUUUUUAAUUUGUUUCAAGCAUGGGAUGUAUAUAGGAAAUUUUCUUUUAUCACUGUUGGAACUCAUAUUUACGGGUUGUGGAAUGUAUUCUGAACUUGUUUGAACCAUGUUGAUUUGUUCAUAUUCCUUUGAUCCCUUGGUUAGGGUCUUCUUUUAAAAUGUCAGCAUGUUGUAGGUGAUCAUUUUUUUGAUUUCGGAGGUCAGUAGUUCUGUUUUAUUGUUAAAUUUAUGGUUGAACCAAAGCUUAGUUUCUAGUCUGAUUUAGAAACUUGGAACACCAGCCUGGUCAUUUAUAUGAUAAUGGAUGCCAACAGUGAUGCAUUUGGGGUUAAGGUUUUAGUAUUAUAAAUUUUAAGAUACAAUUUUAUCUCUUUUUUGUUAAGAACAUGUAGUUUGUUUGGAAAUUUUAACUUCAGUUAGGGCUAUGGCACUGAUUUCAAUGUUCUACUUACUCCACUUCACCUCAUUUUGAUUCUUAGUUACCCCUUGCUUUCGAAAUUGAUGUGAUCAAAUCUGAAUCUUAAAACUUUUAGCGCUUUUCACUUGUCAUGAUGUCCAUGUCAUUACCUUCCUUAUCAAUGUCAAUAUAAUUCCCAUUGCUAGUAUGUUUUUAGACACGCUUAUAAUCUAUUAUCGUAAUUGUAGAUACAUGCACGAAACAAGUGUAGAAAAUAUUUGGAACAUUCGUAGUUUGCUUUAGGCACGUAAAUAAAACAUUACAAUUAUAAGUACGGUUCGUGUGGCGUAGUUGUGAUACUUAAUUUCUAAAUUCGGGGGUACAUUUAUGUGACCCAGCCAAAAUUUAAUUUUGUUAAUAAAAUAAACAUUUUGUAGAUCGUGGGUACGGUUCCUGUGACAUGAUUCACAACGUGUAAAUCAAAUAAUUAGUUGCAUAACAAUUGGAUUAUUAAAAGCGGUUUAAAAGGAUUAAAAAUGCACAUAGGUUUAAAUGAUGUUUUAAAAUCAAAUAAAUAGGCCAAUAUUAACAGUUGAGCGACCGUGCUAAAACCACAGAACCCGAGAAUGCCUAACACCUUCUCCCCGGUUAACAUAAUUUAUUACCUUGAUUUUUAUGUUUCGCGGACUGUAAAACAGUGUCAAUCUUUCCUAGAUUCGAGAUUUAAACCAGUGACUUGGGACACCAUAAAUUAUCCCAAGUGGUGACUCUGAAUUUUAAAUAAAAUAAUCUCAUUUAGAUUAUCACUUAAAUUGGAAAACUCCCUAUACCGCUUCCGGUGGUAGGAAAAAGGAGGUGUGACAGCUCUGGUGACUCUGCUAGGGAGAACAACCCAGAAUCUCUGGUUUAGGGUUCAGAAUUAGAUCUUAGAAUAUCUAUUAUAGUUGGCUUUAUUUAUUAUCUGAUUUUAUUUAUAUGUUUGGGUCUAAUGUGCUAAAUGUUGCUUUUACCGCUUUGAUAUUAUCUGAACUGUAUAUAAAGUGCUACGAAACCCCUCUCUUCUAAUGUUCUGAGAAGUGCACGCUGGCGUGACUUCUUUCUAUUAGUGUCAUAUCCCAAUUUAGAACGAGGUUCGAACAUGUUGCAAAGUCGGAUGAUCUUUUGGUUACCGGCACGCUGCCCCCCCUCCCGGCUCGAGUUGUCUGCUCGGGUAAGCUAGGUAUAGAACAAUACACCCAGGUUUUAAACCUAGAAUAACUCAGCCUCAUGUUGGAUCCCUAGAAGGAAUGUUUGUUUGCAUCAUGUGCAUUUGACUUUGGGAGUCAACACAGGGGUUGGGUCCGUUUAGGACAGGCGUACCCAUAAAUAAAAAGACCAGCCUGAUGCAUUUUAUGUGCUACCUGUGCAUUUAAUUUGUUUCGGAUUGCAUAUUGACCGGUUUCUAGAUUAAGUGAGGAAAAGCAAAAGAAAAACCAAGUUUGAGGUAUGAGAUAAGAUUUCACUCGUUUCCAAAAAUGGUGCCCUAUAUCCCGAAACUCUGCCGAAUUUUUUUUUUUUUGAAAAAAAGAGAAAAAAAAGAUUUCUUGAAAAAAGGGGUUUCUUGGGAAAGAAAAGAGUUAGUCCAAAAUGGUUUAUGUUUUUUCUUUUUCGUGUCAAAAUUGGCCGAAUGACGCGGGUUUGAUUCUCACCGGACGUGUGAUACAUAGGCAACCCUCAUCGAGUCUAGACCCAUUUUUUGAAAGUUUUGGAAAAAAUAUAUGAAGUGUCGUCAUUCUUGUCAUAAAUAAGUGGGUGAUGUCGUUUUGUCUAAAUAGCCGAAUGUCCCAGCGGGACGCUGGAAGGCUCCUUUACAAAAAUAGCCACUGACGGUUUCUUUGUUAAUUUUGGCCAUUAGCGAACACAGCCUUAUGAACUUCCAUUCCGAAGUAAUGAAAGGUCGUAUUCGCAAAAGUAGCCCUGAUUUAUUUUAUUUUUGCAAAAAAUAAGCCUUUUGUCAGUUUUCAAAUAAGAUUCACUUUGUCUUUAAAACAAUUGCCUUAAUCUAAAUGUGCGGAACGAGCACGAGUCAAAAUUUACGAAUGAAGGUCAUGUCCAAGAUUUCGUUGGAUCUACUCAUGUGGUGGGAAGAUUUGGGUAAAGAGGACGAGAUGUGGUCAACCUUUAUUUGGGAGGGCUCACCGGAUUGCUGAAGAUCAGUCCUAGAGGAGACAUAAUAAGGUCACUUGUAACAUUUUGGGACCCACCUCACAACGUCCUACAUUUCUUAUAUUUUGAACUCACACCCACCUUAGAAGAGAUAACGGGUUAUGUGGGAAGUACUAAAGGUCUAAGGCAUAAGUACAUGGUCUCUCCAAGGGCCGUUACCCCUCACAAGUUCCUGGAUUUGCUAAAAAUAAGCAGGGGGGUCCAGUAUGCAGAUUUGGCGGUUGGUUUUUCCACUCUACGCUUUAUAUACCAAAGAUACAAGCAUGUCAUAGGAUUUGACAACCCGAAAAGUGGGAUUUGUAGCAAAGGGAACCAAGCAAAAUGGGAUGAGCAUAGGCACUUCGCUUUCAGGGUAGCUUUCUUAGGUCUCGUGGUGUUUCCCCCGAAGGAUGGGAACAUUGAUCUACGGGUAGUUGGAGUCAUCAAUGUUUUGAUUACCAACGGCAAGACUACCCUCGCCCCUAUUAUAGUGUCUGAGAUAUGAAAUUAGUAAAGAAUUAAGUCACUUUGAAGAGAAACCCAAGCCUAAUUUGAAUGAAACUGAAGCAAUCAAUUUAGGGGAUUCAGAUAACAUCAGGGAAACCAAGAUAAGUGUACACUUGGAACCACAAAUUAGGGAGGAAAUAAUAAAGCAUUGUUCGAAUAUAAAGACAUUUUUGCAUGGUCAUACGACGACAUGCCGGGUCUAAGUACUGACUUGGUGGUUCACAAAUUGCCCACUGACCCGACAUUCCCUCCCGUCAAGCAGAAGUUGAGAAAGUUCAAAACUGAUAUGAGUGUGAAGAUCAAGAAGGAAAUCACAAAGCAGUUAAAUGCAAAGGUCAUUCGAGUCACGCGAUACCCCACUUGGUUAGCUAAUGUUGUGCUAGUUCCAAAGAAGGAUAGAAAGACCAGGGUGUGUGUUGAUUACCGCGAUCUCAACAAAGCAAGUCCAAAGGAUAAUUUUCCACUACCAAAUAUUCACAUUUUGAUUGACAACUGUGCCAAGCAUGAGAUCAGGUCUUUUGUGGAUUGCUAUGCGGGAUACCACCAGAUCUUGAUGGGCGAGGAGGAUGCAGAAAAGACAGCAUUCAUCAUACCAUGGGGAACUUAUUGCUACUAGGUAAUGCCAUUUGGUUUGAAAAAUGCUGGGGCAACUUACAUGAGGGUGAUGACUACUGUGUUCCAUGACAUGAUACACAAUGAGAUUUAGGUUUAUGUGGAGGAUGUGAUCGUAAAGUCAAAGCAAUAGGCCGACCAUGUCACAGAUUUGAGGAAGUUUUUCCAAAGGCUCCGCAGGUACAAUCUUAAGCUUAACCCCGCCAAGUGUGCAUUUGGUGUUCCAUCUGGAAAACUAUUGGGAUUCAUAGUUAGUCGUUGGAGUGAAUUAGACCCGUCGAAAAUCAAAGUUAUCCAAGAAUUGACACCUCCAAGGAACAAGACUAAGGUGAUUAGUCUGCUCGGGCAUUUGAACUACAUCAGUAGGUUUAUUGCUCAACUCACAACAACUUGUAAGCCCAUCUUUAAAUUGCUGAAGAAGGAUGCCGCGGUCAAAAAGACUGAUGAAUGCCAGGAGGCGUUUGAUAAGAUCAAGGGGUACUUGUCAAACCCACCUGUGUUGGUCCUACUGAAACUCGGGAGGCCUUUAAUACUUUAUUUGACAGUCCUGGACAAUUCGUUCGGUAGCGUACUGGGUCAAACAUGACAUCACCGUAAAAAAGGAGCAAGCCAUCUAUUAUCUCAACAAGAAGUUCACGUUAUAUGAGGUUAAGUAUACUCCCCUUGAAAGGACAUGUUGUGCCCUACCUUGGGUGGCUCAAAAGUUAAAGCAUUACCUGUCAUCCUAUACCACUUAUCUCAUUUCUCGCCUGGAUCCUCUAAAGUAUAUCUUUCAGAAGCCUAUGCCCAUAGGAAGACUUGCAAAGUGGCAAAUUUUGCUCACAGAAUUUGACAUUAUCUAUGUGACUCGGACCGCGAUGAAAGCCCAAGCAUUGGCCUAUUAUUUUGCCGAGAACCCGGUGGAUGAAGAGUAUGAACCAUUGAGACUUAUUUUCCCGAUGAAGAGGUGAUGCAUAUUGACGAGGUGGAGCAGGUUGAAAAACCAAGUUGGAAACUUUUCUUUGAUGGAGCCGCUAACAUGAAAGGUGUCGGAAUAGGGGUCGUGCUCAUUUCUGAAAUAGGGCAUCACUACCCUGUUAUGGCCCAACUUCAUUUCUAUUAUACCAACAACAUGGCUGAGUACGAGGCAUGCAUUUUGGGAUUGAGGUUAGCUAUGGAUAUGGGAGUUCUAAAAGUCUUGAUCUUGGGAGACUCAAAUCUUUUGGUGCACCAGAUUCAAGGAGAAUGGGAGACUCGGGAUUUAAAGCUCAUACCGUAUCGACAAUAUUUACAUAAUCUUUGUCAACGAUUUCGAUCAAUAGAAUUCAGGCAUAUUCUAAGGAUCAAUAAUGAGGUGACCAAUGCUUUAACUACCUUGGCGUCAAUGUUACACCAUCCGGACAAAGCUUAUGUCGACCCUCUGUAUAUUCGAGUUCAUGAUCAGCAUGUCUACUGCAAGGUGGUUGAGUAAGAACUUGAUGGUGAACCGUGGUUCCAUGAUAUCAGGGAGUACAUCAGGAUGGGGGUAUAUCCGAUACAAGCCACAGGUGAUCAAAAGAGAACAACUCGACAUUUGGCUAGUGGAUUUUUCUUAAGCGGGGGAAUUUUGUACAAAAGAACUCCAGAUCUUGGGCUGUUGAGGUGAAUCGAUGCUAAGCAAGCCACGACUAUCAUGACUGAGGUACAUUCCGGAGUUUGUGGGCCGCAUAUGAGCGGGUAUGUUCUGGCGAAGAAGAUUCUUCGGGUAGGGUAUUAUUGGCUCACCAUGGAACGAGAUUGCAUUAGCUUUGUGCGCAAGUGUCAUCAAUGCCAGGUACACGGAGACUUGAUUCAUUCUCCACCAUUCGAGUUGCAUACAAUGUCUGCACCAUGGCCCUUUGUUUCUUGGGGCAUGGAUGUCAUUCGACCAGUUGAGCCCGCGGUAUCAAAUGGACACAGGUUCAUUCUGGUGGCCAUUGACUAUUUCACUGAGUGGGUAGAAGCUAAAACGUUCAAAUCUGUGAUCAAGAAGGCAGUGGUCGAUUUUGUUCAUUCAAAUAUCAUUUGUCGGUUCGGAAUCCCAAAGGUGAUCAUCACAGAUAAUGGUGCCAAUCUUAACAGUCAUUUGAUGAAAGAAGUAUGUUAACAGUUUAAGAUUACGCAUUGAAAUUCCACCCCAUAUCGUCCCAAGGUGAAUGGAGCAGUCGAGGCAACCAACAAGAACAUAAAGAAGAUACUUCGGAAAAUGGUGCAAGGUUCCAGGCAAUGGCAUGAAAAGUUACCCUUUUCCUUGCUGGGUUAUCGCACUACUGUUCGCACUUCAAUAUGUGCAACUCCUUAUUUGUUGGUUUAUGGUACUGAAGCAGUGAUAUAUGAGGAAGUUGAGACUCUAUCUUUUCGGAUUGUUGCUGAAGCUGAAAUUGAUGAUGAUGAGUAGGUCAAAACCCGUUUGGAGUAAUUAAGUCUGAUUAAUGAGAAAAGAUUGGUAGUAGUGUGUCAUGGCCAGUUGUACCAAAAGAGAAUGGCUAGAGCAUACAAUAAAAAGGUGCGUCCCCGGAAAUUUGAAGUGGGUCAGCAAGUAUUAAAACACAUCCUUCCUCAUCAGGCUGAAGCGAAAGACAAGUUCACCCCAAAUUGGCAGGGUCCGUUCAUUGUAACAAGAGUGUUGUCCAAUGGUGCUUUAUAUUUAACAGAUUUAGAAGGCAAAUGUGUAGAUAUGGCUAUCAAUUUUGAUGCAGUCAAAAGAUAUUAUGUAUGAUUUCUUUGGUUUGUCUAAUUGUUUUUUGCACUUGGCAUGUUUUGAAGAUUGGAAUGACGAAGGCAUUUUAUUCUGCCAUCUAAACACAUUAUCCUUUGUUACCCCUUUGAGCCUUAUUUAUUUUCUUUCAUACCCCUCUUUUGGAAUCAGUAGCAAAGUUCAGAAACACGGACACAAAAGGUAAAUAAAUAAGAAAAAGAGAAAGAAAAGAAUGGAAAAGGGUGAAAAAAAGAAGAAGAAAAAAAGAAAAAGAAAAGAAAAAAAGAUAGAAAAAGAAAAGAAUAACAACAACAAAGCAAUUACUAUGACAUGAACUACGUUCGACCUAAUUCCUUUUAAGGAUACGUAGGCAACCUCACGGUUCGGUCCCAUCAAAACAAAAUUUCAAAAUCCCCCAGGCAAAGAAACUGGGGUAGAAGUUGUGGUUAUGUAAAAGAUCUGAUUCCAAAAUUUGUAAUUGUGAACCCACUCAAGUUGUUUUGAGCCUUUAUCCUUUCUUUCUAACCCCAUCCAAAAGCCCACAUUACGGUUCAAAGAAAGACCUUCCGACCAAUAUUUGAGAGUUCCAAGUCGAGUGAUAUAGAGGUAUGAUUCGCAUCAUGGGCAACACUCCGUGCUGCACAAGGGAAAAUGAAUAAAUUAGAGAGUCCUAUUGGUGAAAACCCUCGCGGGCACCAUAGGUUAAUAGAAAGAUGAGAGAAAUUAAAAUGAGAGAGUCUUAUUGGUGAAAACCCUCCCGGGCACCAUAGGCUACAGUGAGUUGAGAGAUGAACAAAUGAGAGAGGUUUAUUGGUGAAAACCCUUCAGGGCACCGCAAGCCGAACAAGGUUAGUAACUUGGCGAAGAUAUCGGGUUAUGGAGAUCUCGGGGCAUAAAGUAUGACAACUGAAAGGUGAUUGGCUGAAUGGGCUGGGCUGAUUAAUCCGAAAUGCAUGUCAUUAUCAUUGGUGCCAGCUGCCUCACUCAGAUAAGUAUCUUUUCUUUUCUCCCUCAAAGAGUCAUCUGGUUUCAAAUCUUCUUCUUUAUUUCUAACUCUCGAAGUCAUUACAUUUCAUUUCUUUUGGGUUUAUUUCUCUAAGGCGUUUCCCAUGUCAGCCUUGUUUAAGCAAAAAAGAAAGGAUUUCAAAGCUUAUUACCAACUUCCAAAUUGCACAAAGCAGAGUGCGGCCAAAGCAUACCAGAAAUAGCAUGAUGCAAAGUGAAAAAUAAGGUGUUUAUGAAAGUUCAAGCGGUCGAGUGGUUUGUGAAUUUUGUGGAAGAUACAGAGGUUCAAAUUGGAAGGACAGAAAUGUAAAACAACGGGUUGAGUGCAGGUCACUCAGGUCAUUCAGGUUCCUGUUGGUUGAAAUUCAGUUAGAAAGUCAAACAAUUCUUGACCAGUUCAAGGCAGCCAGUCAACACAAAGCACGGUAGUGAAAGGGCCACCUUCAGUAAGAAUGUCGCAAACUAACCACCACAUUUUCAAACUGAUAAAAUUUUCUUUGAUUAAAAUAGGGGCAGGAAAUUUUGUUUGUUCCAGAGGAACCCUCCAUGAGGAAAGCAUGUACCAGACAGGUUCGACCGUAAAUCUUUAGGACCCUCCUGGAUAAUGGGAUUUAAUUAAAAAAAAUUCAGGACCCUCCUAGAUAAUGGGACCUAGUUAAAUUGCAAGAACUUCAUAGAUAACAAGAUCUAGCAUAAGUUCUACCUUUAGGAAAUAUAAUUCAGCUUUAAAGUUUUUACUCUUAAGAUGAGAUUUAAUUUGAAAUUUUUAGGACCCUUAUUGAUAAUGGGAUUUAGCUUUUAAAUUCUUAGAGCUUUUGGUUAACAUGAUUCGAUUAACACUCACAGAUGUGCCCAAAUACCAAAUUGGGGCAGAAAAGUUUCUUUGUUUGUCUGUUUUGUUGUAAUAAGGCGCCCACCUGGAGAACAGGGGAAUACAAUUCAAGUUUUUGCAAUCAGGCGCCCACCUGGAGAAUAACGGAACACAAUUCAAGUUUUGGCAAUCAGGUGCCAACCUGGAGAACAAGGGAAUACAAUUCAAGUUUUGGAAAUCAGGCGCCCACCUGGAGAACAAGGGAAUACAAUUCAAAUUUUGGCAAUUAGGCGCCCACCUAGAGAACAAGGGAAUACAAUUCAAGUUUUGGCAAUCAGGCACCCGCCUGGAGAACAAGGGAAUACAACUCAAGUUUUGGUAAUUAGGCGCCCACCUAGAGAACAAGGGAAUACAGUUCAAGUUUUGGCAAUCAGGCGCCCACCUGGAUAACAAGGGAAUGCAGUUCAAGUUUCGAAAAUCAGGCGCCCACCUAGAGAACGAGGGAAUACAAAUCAAGUUUUUGGUAAUCAGGCACCCACCUGGAGAAGAAGGGAAUGCAAUUCAAGUUUCGACAAUCAGACACCCACUUGGAAAAUAAGGGAAUCCAUUUCAGAAUUUAGUUCGUGUUAGCAACAACAAAAAUUCGCUUCGAGAGUACGGGUAAACAGUUCAAGACGCACAACAAAACUGUAGAAGCAGCAAGACCAAGUUUGAAGAUGGUAGAUAGGAUUAUUGUCAUUCAUAGAUCAUAGUUUAGCCUAGUUUUUUUUUGACUCGGUGUAAUAAGGAGUUUAGCAAGCAGUAGUAAAAGCAGCAAUAGUGAAUCAUAGCUUCCCGGUAGUCCCAGCUACCGAAACUUCCCAAACUACAAUGACAUGAUUCCUUUAUAUCCAAGGAUAUGUAGGCAACCUCGGAAGUAAGGUACAGUCAGAUCUUUCAAAAAUGCUUCCCACGAAAUAUUCAAACGGGCAAAAAUCGCUCGUAUCCGCUCACUUUAUCUUUGCUCGAAAACUCUUUGUGUUUCCGAGCAAAGAGGGGCAGUUGUGAGCACGUGAUUUUUGCCCUAUAUGAAAUACUCCUAAAAAUUAAAGAAAUAAAGUUUUCCCAAUUAUUUGCAAUUUUAUAGAUUUUUUGUAGGAUAUUUUGUUAAUUGUUUGCAUUUUUGUGCACGUUUAAUUUCUAUUACAAAUCAUGAAAAAAUACCAAAAGAUACCAUGCAUUUCAUUUAGGUUUUAUUUUUACAUUCUCAAGGUUAAUUAGUUAAUUAUUUGUUUUAUUAAAAAAUAAAAAUCACGAAAAAUGGGCCAUUGUUGCAUUUUUAGCUUUAAUUUUAGAAUAGUAGUUUUUCUCUUUUGAUUUAGGAUCAAGGAAUUUUUAUAAUUCUUAUGAAAUUAAUUAGUUUUACAAUCAAGAUUAAUUUAGGAUUUUAAUUUAGAUUUUUAAUUAAAAAAAAGAGAAAAGAAGAAGAAAAACAAAAAGAAUAGGAAAUAAAGGGUUAAUUGCAAAAGUGUUGUUUUAAUUCAAAUUGUGUCAGUCCAUACCCAAAUCUUACCCCAAACCCACCCCAAAUCCAGGCCCAAAGUCACCCCACCCGGUCCAGGUCCCCCCCAUCACCAAACAACACCGUUUAUGCCUCUUUCCUUCACAGCUGUUGAUCUUGUGUGAUCUAACGGCUGUGAACUGGGCACACAUUUUAUAUAAAAUUGUCCUAAAGCUACCCCCCCCCCCAUUUUGAACUCCAUCAGUUCAAUCCCACCCAAACCCUAGCCAGGCCCAGCCACCCCAAACCACAUCGGCCGGCGGCAUGACUCCAAUCGACCCCAAGUUCAUACCACACAACCACCACCUAGCCCUGGUCCCUAAUUCGUCACUGUUGUCCCCAAAAUCCUCAUUUGUUUGCCCCAAUUUCGAAUCUAAUCCGGAAAUUGAAGAACCCUGAUUCUCUGCCUUUCGAAGUAAAAACGGAUUUCAGUUGAUAAUGAAUCAGAACUCAUGCCAAUCGAUUGUUCUCCCUAAGAAUAAUCGAUUAGCAUUAAUUUCGAUUCAUUUCAAAGCCCAUCGAAUUCCAUGCAAAACCAAUGAACGGCAAAAAUUUUGUCAAACGAUACCAUUCGUCAAGUCGCUCAAAUGUUUCCGGCAAAAUACAAUAUAUAUCUCUCCCUUUUUCUUGUGUGUCCAUUUCUGUUCUUCCCGUAUCAGUUGGUCCAUUUGUUUGUUGGUUGACCUAAUUCUUUUUUUUAAAAAAUAGUUUGUUUUGGAUAAUUAUAUUAGGGUUAAUAUUGUUUUCUUAUUCUAUGUUUUGUUUGAUUUUUUUUACAUUUUGGUCAGUUUUAUCUAAUUUAGUCAAUGGUUUCGAGUUAAUGUUUAAAAUUGUUAAAGUAUUUUGGUUUGGCUGGUUCAUUUAUGGAUCAAAUUUCUUAUUUUCUAUCUUUGACCCUUUUCUUUUCUUCUUCUUCCUCUUCUUUCGAUUAGAAUGUCCAGUUUAGCCUAGGUCGUAAUUUGAGUUUGAUGCUCAUUUUUAUUGAUUGGGCUUUUACAUUGGCUGUAUGGCCAUCUCUGACCCGUUUAAAGAGGCCCAUUCAUAUGGGUUUGAGUCUUGGGUCAAUUUGACCCAUGAAUGAUUCAUUUUGGGGAGUAAAUACAUGGCUGUCAGGUGGUACUUUGGAUAAUUUAGGUCUAGAGAAUAUUUUUUGUUAAGAAAGAAGUUUCUAGAGGAUAAGAGACAGACUUGUAUGCUAAGAAAGGUAGGGGUUCAGAUAUUUGUUUUAAGGGACUUUGAAGGUAAAAUAAAAGAGAGGGAGGGCCUGAAGGUGAAUAAAAAUCAAGUUCUGUUGCCCUAAGACCGAGCUCCAGUCUCAUUUUCCUAAAUUCUAGGGCAGAGACUGGAACACUUAAAAAUAGAAAAGAAAACGGCUGAAAAUCUUUUUCUGAAGAAAACUACUAUAGUUUGGAGCUCGAUUUAUUUAUUUUUUUUGGAAAAAAGUUUAGGAAGUACUCAUUCCUGGGUUUGCUGGUUUUCUAAAGCUGAAGCAUGACUUGAUUUAGAAGCUGUUGUGUGGUUGUCAUUGUUGUUUCCCUUGCUGUUGAUCUGUUACUGCUGUUUUAUCCUAACUUCAGGCUUAUUUUCUCUGUUGUUUUUGCUGUAAGCAGGUAUUACUUCUGAUUGGAGUGAUGCAAAUAUUGUGUUCCAUUGAAUGAAGAUUACUUGAGCUCACCUCUAAUUAAAUCUGUUUCCAAUUCUAUAGUGGUGUAGAUAUUCACCUUGUUUAAAUGUUGUAAAUGGGUGUGUUUGUUUGAUGCAUUUAGAUGCCGAUAGUGUUAUGGGUUGGACUCAUUGGAUUCAUGCUUGGAUAUUUCACAAAGUGUUAUAGUUUAUUUUAAUUGGUUUGGUUUAUUUGUAUUCAUGUUCUUGACUUCAAGGUUUUGAUCCACGUUUUCUGACAUGAACUCCAGUUGAUUGCUAAGCACUAGUAAA